GACGAACGCUGGCGGCGUGCCUAAUACAUGCAAGUCGAACGAGAGCGACCGGUGCUUGCACUGGUCAAUCUAGUGGCGAACGGGUGAGUAACACGUGGGUAACCUGCCCAUCAGAGGGGGAUAACAUUCGGAAACGGAUGCUAAAACCGCAUAGGUCUUCGAACCGCAUGGUUUGAAGAGGAAAAGAGGCGCAAGCUUCUGCUGAUGGAUGGACCCGCGGUGCAUUAGCUAGUUGGUGAGGUAACGGCUCACCAAGGCCGUGAUGCAUAGCCGACCUGAGAGGGUGAUCGGCCACAUUGGGACUGAGACACGGCCCAAACUCCUACGGGAGGCAGCAGUAGGGAAUCUUCCGCAAUGGACGCAAGUCUGACGGAGCAACGCCGCGUGAGUGAAGAAGGUGUUCGGAUCGUAAAACUCUGUUGUUAGAGAAGAACAAGUGCUAGAGUAACUGUUAGCGCCUUGACGGUAGCUAACCAGAAAGCCACGGCUAACUACGUG
rnacentral:rRNA from 1 species